rnacentral:rRNA from 1 species
AGGAAUAUUGGUCAAUGGGCGAUGGCCUGAACCAGCCAAGUAGCGUGAAGGAUGACUGCCCUAUGGGUUGUAAACUUCUUUUAUAAAGGAAUAAAGUCGGGUAUGCAUACCCGUUUGCAUGUACUUUAUGAAUAAGGAUCGGCUAACUCCGUGCCAGCAGCCGCGGUAAUACGGAGGAUCCGAGCGUUAUCCGGAUUUAUUGGGUUUAAAGGGAGCGUAGAUGGAUGUUUAAGUCAGUUGUGAAAGUUUGCGGCUCAACCGUAAAAUUGCAGUUGAUACUGGAUGUCUUGAGUGCAGUUGAGGCAGGCGGAAUUCGUGGUGUAGCGGUGAAAUGCUUAGAUAUCACGAAGAACUCCGAUUGCGAAGGCAGCCUGCUAAGCUGCAACUGACAUUGAGGCUCGAAAGUGUGGGUAUCAAACAGGAUUAGAUACCCUGGUAGUCCACACGGUAAACGAUGAAUACUCGCUGUUUGCGAUAUACGGCAAGCGGCCAAGCGAAAGCGUUAAGUAUUCCACCUGGGGAGUACGCCGGCAACGGUGAAACUCAAAGGAAUUGACGGGGGCCCGCACAAGCGGAGGAACAUGUGGUUUAAUUCGAUGAUACGCGAGGAACCUUACCCGGGCUUGAAUUGCAACUGAAUGAUGUGGAGACAUGUCAGCCGCAAGGCAGUUGUGAAGGUGCUGCAUGGUUGUCGUCAGCUCGUGCCGUAAGGUGUCGGCUUAAGUGCCAUAACGAGCGCAACCCUUAUCGAUAGUUACCAUCAGGUUAUGCUGGGGACUCUGUCGAGACUGCCGUCGUAAGAUGUGAGGAAGGUGGGGAUGACGUCAAAUCAGCACGGCCCUUACGUCCGGGGCUACACACGUGUUACAAUGGGGGGUACAGAAGGCAGCUACACGGCGACGUGAUGCUAAUCCCUAAAGCCUCUCUCAGUUCGGAUUGGAGUCUGCAACCCGACUCCAUGAAGCUGGAUUCGCUAGUAAUCGCGCAUCAGCCAUGGCGCGGUGAAUACGUUCCCG